rnacentral:rRNA from 1 species
GACGAACGCUGGCGGCGUGCCUAAUACAUGCAAGUUGAGCGCUGAAGGUUGGUACUUGUACCAACUGGAUGAGCAGCGAACGGGUGAGUAACGCGUGGGGAAUCUGCCUUUGAGCGGGGGACAACAUUUGGAAACGAAUGCUAAUACCGCAUAAAAACUUUAAACACAAGUUUUAAGUUUGAAAGAUGCAAUUGCAUCACUCAAAGAUGAUCCCGCGUUGUAUUAGCUAGUUGGUGAGGUAAAGGCUCACCAAGGCGAUGAUACAUAGCCGACCUGAGAGGGUGAUCGGCCACAUUGGGACUGAGACACGGCCCAAACUCCUACGGGAGGCAGCAGUAGGGAAACUUCGGCAAUGGACGAAAGUCUGACCGAGCAACGCCGCGGGAGUGAAGAAGGGUUUCGGAUCGUAAAACUCUGUUGGUAGAGAAGAACGUUGGUGAGAGUGGAAAGCUCAUCAAGUGACGGUAACUACCCAGAAAGGGACGGCUAACUACGUG